UAUGUGAAAGUUAUAAGUGAAAAUGUGAAUUUACUGUUCAUGGUAACUCUCUAUAUAUAAGGAAACUUACCGAGGUAAGUUCCCAUUUCAGAACUUACCCUGACCCUCUCUCUCUCUCCUCUUCCUCUUCCCCGCGUCGCCCUCCCUUUUUCUUUUUCCGAUUUCUUCACCGUCCGGCGUCCGAUUGAUGUGAUUCCAGUUGUCCUUGGACCGUCUCUUCCUCCUCUAUACGAUGGUAUCAGUGGGUAUCAGUGAUUUGGCCGGAAAACCCCGAAUUUAUGCAAUCAUAGUUACUGUAGCAAUUUGCUUCUCCGGUGAAAUUCUCCAGUUUUCGGCUAUCUCCGGCGGGAAAAUUGAUUCUAUUAGGAGCGCCUCGAGUCACUGAUCAUCUUCCCUCAACACUUCUAGCUGAAAUUUCCACGUUUGGAAGGUGAAUUUGAAGGAUUUCCAAAUUUGUGGGUUUGGAGAUUUUCGGGUUUGUGUUCAUCGGCAAAAUUGGAGCACUUCAAGGAUGUCGUACCGAGCCCUGGCUCGAUGAAGGAACUCGUAUACGUGAUCGUCGGAAUAGUACUUGUGCAGGAGAAAUUAGUUGAGGUCGGGCGUACAUGGAGUCGAGGCAUAGUCAACAGUAUGGCUUCCGCGAUUGCCUUGAAUUAGGUUUUCCUCAUUUACCUUUCUAUUAGAAUUGCUCUGAUUACCUGCGGAAUUAAGGUUAUUAAGUCGAGAUUUGUGUGUUGUGAUUUUGGUUGAUGUUGUUUGGGGGAGCAGGGUGGCUCCAGGAGAAUAAGGAUGGGUGAUUUAGAAGUGUAAAUUCUCUUUCUACAGGUUUUGGGUUGUCCACUUUAGGGGAAGUUCUGCCUAAUUUUUGGCAAAAUUUCUUCUAAGGUGGGCCCCGCAUGUCCACUUCGGAUUUCAGGGUGAAAUUCGGGGCGGGUCCUGUCAGUUGGUAUCAGAGCAUUAGGUUGUCAGAUUCUGUAGACUCAUUUCUAUCUUGUUACCUUAUACGCUUAAUGUUACACAGUACCUCCCGAGUGAUGGCCCGACUGCAGCGGUUCCCCAUCGUUUACUCUUCGGUGCUGAUGUACUCAUUAAGUGUGUAAGGUACAUGUUUAGAUGGUGUUCCUUUA